CACGUAGGGCGCGAGCGUUUGUCCGGAAUUAUUGGGCGUAAAGAGCUCGUAGGCGGCCUGUUGCGUCCGCUGUGAAAGCCCCGGGGCUUAACCCCGGAUCUGCGGUGGGUACGGGCAGACUAGAGUGAUGUAGGGGAGACUGGAAUUCCUGGUGUAGCGGUGAAAUGCGCAGAUAUCAGGAGGAACACCGAUGGCGAAGGCAGGUCUCUGGGCAUUAACUGACGCUGAGGAGCGAAAGCCAGGGGAGCAAACGGG
rnacentral:rRNA from 1 species